rnacentral:rRNA from 1 species
UACGGAGGGUGCAAACGUUGCUCGGAAUCAUUGGGCGUAAAGCGCACGUAGGCGCCUGAUAAGUCGGGUGUGAAAGCCCUGGGCUCAACCCAGGAAGUGCACUCGAAACUGUCAGGCUUGAAUAUGGAAGAGGGUCGCGGAAUUCCCGGUGUAGAGGUGAAAUUCGUAGAUAUCGGGAAGGAACACCAGUGGCGAAAGGCGGCU